rnacentral:rRNA from 1 species
UACGUAGGGUGCAAGCGUUGUCCGGAAUUAUUGGGCGUAAAGAGCUUGUAGGCGGUUUGUCGCGUCUGCUGUGAAAUUUCGGGGCUCAACCCCGAACUUGCAGUGGGUACGGGCAGACUAGAGUGUGGUAGGGGAGACUGGAAUUCCUGGUGUAGCGGUGAAAUGCGCAGAUAUCAGGAGGAACACCGAUGGCGAAGGCAGGUCUCUGGGCCACUACUGACGCUGAGAAGCGAAAGCAUGGGGAGCGAACAGGG